UGAUCUAUACAUUAGCCAAAAUGUGUUCUCUCAAAUCCAAACGCUAAACAGUGUACCAACCCCAUGAGAAAGAAUCAAAGUAUUUUCUUCUGAGUGUGAAGCAAGUAAGUAGUGUUGCACUUUUGCACUUGCUGUGCGCUUAUUAUUGAUUAUCAUUCUUCCUUUUUUAAAAAAAAUAAGAAGGCCAGAGGAAGUGAAUACAAGCUGAGUGGC